rnacentral:rRNA from 1 species
UGCAGUCGAGCGAACAGACGAGGAGCUUGCUCCUUUGACGUUAGCGGCGGACGGGUGAGUAACACGUAGGUAACCUACCUAUAAGACUGGGAUAACUUCGGGAAACCGGAGCUAAUACCGGAUAAUAUUUCGAACCGCAUGGUUCGAUAGUGAAAGAUGGCUUUGCUAUCACUUAUAGAUGGACCUGCGCCGUAUUAGCUAGUUGGUAAGGUAACGGCUUACCAAGGCAACGAUACGUAGCCGACCUGAGAGGGUGAUCGGCCACACUGGAACUGAGACACGGUCCAGACUCCUACGGGAGGCAGCAGUAGGGAAUCUUCCGCAAUGGGCGAAAGCCUGACGGAGCAACGCCGCGUGAGUGAUGAAGGUCUUCGGAUCGUAAAACUCUGUUAUUAGGGAAGAACAAACGUGUAAGUAACUGUGCACGUCUUGACGGUACCUAAUCAGAAAGCCACGGCUAACUACGUGCCAGCAGCCGCGGUAAUACGUAGGUGGCAAGCGUUAUCCGGAAUUAUUGGGCGUAAAGCGCGCGUAGGCGGUUUUUUAAGUCUGAUGUGAAAGCCCACGGCUCAACCGUGGAGGGUCAUUGGAAACUGGAAAACUUGAGUGCAGAAGAGGAAAGUGGAAUUCCAUGUGUAGCGGUGAAAUGCGCAGAGAUAUGGAGGAACACCAGUGGCGAAGGCGACUUUCUGGUCUGUAACUGACGCUGAUGUGCGAAAGCGUGGGGAUCAAACAGGAUUAGAUACCCUGGUAGUCCACGCCGUAAACGAUGA